rnacentral:tRNA from 1 species
CGGGGUGUAGCGCAGCUGGUAGCGCGCCUCGUUCGGGACGAGGAAGCCGGGUGUUCGAGCCACCUCACUCCGACCA